rnacentral:rRNA from 1 species
UACGUAGGUGGCAAGCGUUGUCCGGAUUUACUGGGCGUAAAGAGCGCGCAGGCGGUCGAGUAAGUCGAAUGUGAAAGCCCCCGGCUUAACUGGGGAGGGUCAUUCGAUACUGUUCGACUUGAAGGCAGGAGAGGGCAGCAGAAUUCCCGGUGUAGUGGUGAAAUGCGUAGAUAUCGGGAGGAAUACCAGUGGCGAAGGCGGUUCUCUGGGCCUUACCUGACGCUGAGGAGCGAAAGCGUGGGGAGCGAACAGGG